rnacentral:lncRNA from 1 species
UAUUUUCUUCAGGAAGGCAGAGCUUUGUUUCAUCUUCUGCUAUAUAUCCUACAAGCUGUACUUUUUUUUUUAAUACUGAGAAAACCACAUCGCAGUAUCUCCUGAAUGUCCAGAGUUUUGCAGCUCAGAUCUUCUGUCUGACAGCUAAGUGUCUAUACAACCAUCCACAGUCUGUGUCUCCUUUCUACCUGCAUGGAUUUCUGAGUCAUACAAAUGCUGUGUGUGAGAAAACCGAAGAUGGGGGAAGAGAGCAGCUGAGGAAAAGAAACAGUGACGUGGUGCAGAAAUGGUUUAGGGCUACAGGAGCUAUCAUUCUGAAAAUACAGAUUGACAAGUAACAAAAUGGAACAAGAGCUUUUCAGUCACCUGUUAAUAGAGUCCGCAAUGCUUGUUGGGUGCAUAGCAGCUUAGAGUUUGGUCUGACUGGCAAAGGAGAAGACGAAAGCUCAUUGACUACCAAGGCUAAUCAAAUCACAUGCAUAAAGCUGGUCUGGGCCCAGGUGAACUUAUCAUUAUUGCUUGGUGAAUAUUUAUUAGAAGCAUAAGGGAAG